GCGGGCGUAGUUCAAUGGUAGAACUCCAGCCUUCCAAGCUGGCCGUGCGGGUUCGAUUCCCGUCGCCCGCUCCA
rnacentral:tRNA from 3 species